AACGAACGCUGGCGGCAGGCUUAACACAUGCAAGUCGAGCGCCCCGCAAGGGGAGCGGCAGACGGGUGAGUAACGCGUGGGAAUCUACCCAUCUCUACGGAAUAACGCAUGGAAACGUGUGCUAAUACCGUAUACGUCCUUCGGGAGAAAGAUUUAUCGGAGAUGGAUGAGCCCGCGUUGGAUUAGCUAGUUGGUGGGGUAAAGGCCUACCAAGGCGACGAUCCAUAGCUGGUCUGAGAGGAUGAUCAGCCACACUGGGACUGAGACACGGCCCAGACUCCUACGGGAGGCAGCAGUGAGGAAUAUUGGACAAUGGGCGCAAGCCUGAUCCAGCCAUGCCGCGUGAGUGAUGAAGGCCCUAGGGUUGUAAAGCUCUUUCACCGGUGAAGAUAAUGACGGUAACCGGAGAAGAAGCCCCGGCUGACUUCGUGCCAGCCGCCGCCGUAAAAC
rnacentral:rRNA from 1 species